GACGAACGCUGGCGGCGUGCUUAACACAUGCAAGUCGAACGGAAAGGCCUCUUUCGGGGGGUACUCGAGUGGCGAACGGGUGAGUAACACGUGAGUAACCUGCCCUCGACUUUGGGAUAACUUCAGGAAACUGGGGCUAAUACCGGAUAGGAGCUCCUGCUGCAUGGUGGGGGCUGGAAAGUUUCGGGGGUUGGGGAUGGACUCGCGGCUUAUCAGCUUGUUGGUGGGGUAGUGGCUUACCAAGGCUUUGACGGGUAGCCGGCCUGAGAGGGUGACCGGCCACAUUGGGACUGAGAUACGGCCCAGACUCCUACGGGAGGCAGCAGUGGGGAAUAUUGCACAAUGGGUGGAAGCCUGAUGCAGCAACGCCGUGUGCGGGAUGACGGCCUUCGGGUUGUAAACCGCUUUCGCUCAUGACGAAGCUUUGUGUGACGGUAGUGGGUAAAGAAGCACCGGCUAACUACGUG
rnacentral:rRNA from 1 species